rnacentral:rRNA from 2 species
ACUCUGGUAUUGAUUGGUGCUUGCAUCAUGAUUUACAUUUGAGUGAGUGGCGAACUGGUGAGUAACACGUGGGAAACCUGCCCAGAAGCGGGGGAUAACACCUGGAAACAGAUGCUAAUACCGCAUAACAACUUGGACCGCAUGGUCCGAGCUUGAAAGAUGGCUUCGGCUAUCACUUUUGGAUGGUCCCGCGGCGUAUUAGCUAGAUGGUGGGGUAACGGCUCACCAUGGCAAUGAUACGUAGCCGACCUGAGAGGGUAAUCGGCCACAUUGGGACUGAGACACGGCCCAAACUCCUACGGGAGGCAGCAGUAGGGAAUCUUCCACAAUGGACGAAAGUCUGAUGGAGCAACGCCGCGUGAGUGAAGAAGGGUUUCGGCUCGUAAAACUCUGUUGUUAAAGAAGAACAUAUCUGAGAGUAACUGUUCAGGUAUUGACGGUAUUUAACCAGAAAGCCACGGCUAACUACGUGCCAGCAGCCGCGGUAAUACGUAGGUGGCAAGCGUUGUCCGGAUUUAUUGGGCGUAAAGCGAGCGCAGGCGGUUUUUUAAGUCUGAUGUGAAAGCCUUCGGCUCAACCGAAGAAGUGCAUCGGAAACUGGGAAACUUGAGUGCAGAAGAGGACAGUGGAACUCCAUGUGUAGCGGUGAAAUGCGUAGAUAUAUGGAAGAACACCAGUGGCGAAGGCGGCUGUCUGGUCUGUAACUGACGCUGAGGCUCGAAAGUAUGGGUAGCAAACAGGAUUAGAUACCCUGGUAGUCCAUACCGUAAACGAUGAAUGCUAAGUGUUGGAGGGUUUCCGCCCUUCAGUGCUGCAGCUAACGCAUUAAGCAUUCCGCCUGGGGAGUACGGCCGCAAGGCUGAAACUCAAAGGAAUUGACGGGGGCCCGCACAAGCGGUGGAGCAUGUGGUUUAAUUCGAAGCUACGCGAAGAACCUUACCAGGUCUUGACAUACUAUGCAAAUCUAAGAGAUUAGACGUUCCCUUCGGGGACAUGGAUACAGGUGGUGCAUGGUUGUCGUCAGCUCGUGUCGUGAGAUGUUGGGUUAAGUCCCGCAACGAGCGCAACCCUUAUUAUCAGUUGCCAGCAUUAAGUUGGGCACUCUGGUGAGACUGCCGGUGACAAACCGGAGGAAGGUGGGGAUGACGUCAAAUCAUCAUGCCCCUUAUGACCUGGGCUACACACGUGCUACAAUGGAUGGUACAACGAGUUGCGAACUCGCGAGAGUAAGCUAAUCUCUUAAAGCCAUUCUCAGUUCGGAUUGUAGGCUGCAACUCGCCUACAUGAAGUCGGAAUCGCUAGUAAUCGCGGAUCAGCAUGCCGCGGUGAAUACGUUCCCGGGCCUUGUACACACCGCCCGUCACACCAUGAGAGUUUGUAACACCCAAA